UACAGAGGUGGCAAGCGUUGUUCGGAAUUACUGGGCGUAAAGCGCGCGUAGGCGGCUUUGUAAGUUAGAGGUGAAAGCCCGGAGCUCAACUCCGGAACUGCCUUUAAGACUGCAUCGCUUGAAUCCAGGAGAGGUGAGUGGAAUUCCGAGUGUAGAGGUGAAAUUCGUAGAUAUUCGGAAGAACACCAGUGGCGAAGGCG
rnacentral:rRNA from 1 species